rnacentral:rRNA from 1 species
UACAGGGGGUGCAAACGUUGCUCGGAAUCAUUGGGCGUAAAGCGCACGUAGGCGGUUCGUUAUGUCGGAUGUGAAAGCCCUUGGCUUAACCGAGGAAGUGCAUCCGAAACUGGCGAGCUAGAGUACGAAAGAGGAUCGCGGAAUUCCCGGUGUAGAGGUGAAAUUCGUAGAUAUCGGGAGGAACACCGGUGGCGAAGGCGGCGAUCUGGGUAGAUACUGACGCUGAGGUGCGAAAGCGUGGGGAGCAAACGGG